CCCCGGAAACCCUACAGGUAAUGGGGUAUGGGAUAAUGGGAAUGGGUAUGGGGUACUGGGAAACACUGCUGUCCUCGGGCACUGUGCAUCAUCAACCCGGGAAACCCCACAGGUAAUGGGGUUUGGGGUAUGGGAUAAUGGGAAUGGGUACGGGGUACUGGGAAACACUGCUGUCCAUGGGCACUGUGCAUCAUCAACCCCGGAAAUCCCACAGGUAAUGGGAUAAUGGGUAUGGGAAUGGGUAUGGGGUACUGGGAAUGGGUAUGGGGUACUGGGAAUGGGUAUGGGGUACUGGGAAUGGGUAUGGGGUACUGGGAAUGGGGUAUGGGAUAAUGGGAAUGGGUAUGGGAUAAUGGGAAUGGGUAUGGGGUACUGGGAAACACUGCUGUCCUCGGGCACUGUGCAUCAUCAACCCCGGAAACCCUACAGGUAAUGGGGUAUGGGAUAAUGGGAAUGGGUAUGGGGUACUGGGAAUGGGUACGGGGUACUGGGAAACACUGCUGUCCUCGGGCACUGUGCAUCAUCAACCCGGGAAACCCUACAGGCCAGGUGCAGAGCCGGGAGUGCAUCGAGGACGUCAUCAAGUUCGCCUACGAGGAGAAGCUUUUCCUGCUGGCCGACGAGGUGUACCAGGACAACAUCUACGCCGAGGGCUCGGCCUUCCACUCCUUCAAGAAGGUGCUGGUGCAGCUGGGAGCGCCCUACGCCGACAAGGUGGAGCUGGCCUCCUUCCACUCCAUCUCCAAGGGAUACAUGGGAGAGUGAGUCCGGCCGGGGGGCACGGCAAAGGGGUGGGGGGCAUGGAAAAGGGAGGGGGAUGCUGCUACCACCCCAUGGAUCCCUUGGGAUGGGACUGGGGAUGUCACCACCCCAUGGAUCCCUUGGAAUGGGAUUGGGGAUGUCACCACCUCAUGGAUACCCUGGAAUGGGAUUGGGGAUGUCACCACCCCAUGGAUCCCUUGGGAUGGGAUUGGAGAUGUCACCACCCCAUGGAUCCCUUGGGAUGGGAUUGGAGAUGUCAGCACCCCAUGGAUCCUCUGGGGUGGGAUUGGGGAUGGAGGGGAUGUAGGGAUGGAGGUGUCACCACCCCAUGGAUCCCCUGGGAUGGGAUUGGGGAUGUCACCACCCCAUGGAUACCAUGGGAUGGGACUGGGGAUGUCACCACCUCAUGGGUACCACAGGAUGGGAUUUGGGAUGUCACCAUUCCAUGGAUCCCUUGGGAUAGGAAUAGGGAUGUAGGAAUGGAGGUGCCACCACCCCAUGGAUCCCCUGGGAUGGGAUUGGGGAUGUCACCACCUCGUGGGUACCACGGGAUGGGAUUGGGGAUGUCACCAUUCCAUGGAUCUCUUGGGAUAGGAAUAGGGAUGGAGGGAUGGAGGUGCCACCACCCCAAGGAUCCUCUGGGAUGGAAAUGGGGAUGUCACCACCCAAUGGAUCCCUUGGGAUGGGAUUUGGGAUGUCACCAGCCCAUGGAUCCCUUGGGAUGGGAUUGGGGAUGUCACCAGCCCAUGGAUCCCUUGGGAUGGGAUUGGGGAUGUCACCAGCCCGUGGAUCCCUCGGGAUGGGAUUGGGGAUGUCACCAGCCCGUGGAUCCCUUGGGAUGGGAUUGGGGAUGGAGGGGAUGGAGGGAUAGAGGUGCCACCACCCCAUGGAUCCCUCUCCAUAGAUUCCUGUUCAUGAAUCCCCACCCAUGGAUCCCAUCCAUGAUCCCUC
rnacentral:lncRNA from 1 species